rnacentral:piRNA from 1 species
UAGUCCUCUCAUCUACAUAAAAGCCCC